ACAUACGGCCAUAUCACGUUGAAAGCACCGGUCUCGUCCGAUCACCGAAGUUAAGCAGCGUUGAGCCUAGUGAGUACUUAGAUGGGUGACCACUUGGGUGCUGUAAGCGACACACAUU
rnacentral:rRNA from 1 species